rnacentral:misc_RNA from 1 species
AUAUUUAAAGUUUUAGGCAAUUAAGCCAAUUGACAUUCUAUUACAAAGAGUGUGUUAAAUAGACGAAAUCCCGAGCCAAUAAAGGCACGUAAACGGGGGAGAUACGUCUCUUAAAGUGCACAGGGUGUGAAUGGAAUUGUAAGGAGCGUGCACUUGUAAGAACCAGCACAACUCCAAAUGAAUUCGUUAAUGAUCCUUCCGCAGGUUCACCUACGGAAA